rnacentral:lncRNA from 1 species
GUGUGUGUGUAUGUAUGGUAUGGGUAUGAGUGUUUAUGUGUGUGUAUGGUGUGUGUGUGUGUAUGGAAUGUGUGUGUGUGUAAAGGUGCAUGUACCAUGAUGUGUGUGCAUAUGAACAGACAAUUUUGUAUAGUCUGUUCUUUCUGUCCCCCUUUAUUUGUAUUGCAGGAAUCAAACUCAUGUUUUGAGGCUUGCAACCUUAACUGUUUCUUUUGAAAUCAACUAAUAAAGAAAGGAUUAAAUAAAUCACCAAGCAUCCAUGCCAUGAAAAACUGGAUUUUUGAAAGAAUGAAGCAACUCCAUGUGUGCUGACUUGGAAUGUCCACUAACCUGCAGCUGGAAACAGCAGCAGUCAUCCAGACUGUGAAGCACGGGGUAGUACCAUCGUCUACAGAAGGUUGCUUUUGAUGGAGAUGCUUUGGCGCAGCAGUAGAAACCCCAACUAAGAUCGUGCUUAUGUCAGAUUGGUUUCGUGAUAGAAUCGGAUCUGGACAGCAGUUUCCUUCAAUAAACGUCAGUGGAGCACCUUCUGGGUCCCUGGCAUGGAUGGACAGCAUCCCAAGAGGACUUUAGGUUGCCAUAUGAUUUGUUUCUCAACCAGCAUAUGAACUUUCCCAAGAUGAGGCAGGCCUUUUCAGUGUUACGCCCAAAUCCCAAAUCUAGGUGCAGAGUGCACAGCCAAAUCUCACCAAGCCUUCGUCUUCCUGAUAGAACAUGCUCGAUUUUAGCUGACUUCAUUCAGAAGUAGGAAUCAGAUACUAGUUGGCACAGCAGAAAAAAAAAAAAAAAAAAAAAAACCCAAAUCACCCUCUGGCAAGGAAGGCGUUAUGCAACUGCCUUAGAAGUAAAUUUACCUUCUUAAUUAUGGAUGCCUGUGGCUAUAAUUACAGAUAAGUAGCAUUUCCCACGUCUAAUCUUCUUCCUGCUUCCUUCUCUGAGCCCAUCGGGGUAACUCUCCUGGGCCUUCUAUUUAAUUCUCAGAGGUAGUGAGACAGAUUGAACGAACUUGCCUGACCGGAAGCUCAAAGGCAUCAGAGGUGGGGAGGGACAACACCGCUGAAGAAUCACCAUGUGGAACAGGGAAGCUUUGCUGACCUGCAGCGUCAGACUUCCAGACUGUCUCAACGUAGAGUGGCUUCCUGAGUCCUCCCGCCCUUCCUGGGGUUGUUCUGCAUUCAAUGGGUCAUGAGGCAGGCAUGCAAAACUUAUAUGAGCCGUGCCAGGCAGGUAUCACCCUGGAGUUCCAGAACAGGUGAAUAAACUUUCUCAGGCCUAAAUUAUAAACCAUUGUGUCCGGGGGCCGGAUUCCUGCAAAUACCCUAUUGGCUUCAGAAGUGUUGGUUCCUAUUAGACACAGAACAUUCUUGUCUUCUAAAAACAAACAAACAAACAAACAAACAAACCCCAAGCCUGUGGACAGAGGUUGGGAAGGUGAAGAGUAGGCCCUCUGUAGAUCCUGACAGCUUGGAAACUGAUCAUUUUCCAUGCCACGACUCUGAGCCCUUGUUCCAGUGGUUGACUAAGCAUGGCAGCGGUACACAGAGGUGCCGGCUCCAACCUCCAAAAGGCCUGACAGAAGCAAC